rnacentral:rRNA from 1 species
UACAGAGGGUGCUAGCGUUAAUCGGAAUUACUGGGCGUAAAGGGCGUGUAGGUGGUUAAAUAAGUUGGUUGUGAAAUCCCUGGGCUUAACCUAGGAAUGGCAAUCAAUACUGUUUAACUAGAGUACGGUAGAGGGUAGUGGAAUUUCCGGUGUAGCGGUGAAAUGCGUAGAGAUCGGAAGGAACACCAGUGGCGAAGGCGGCUACCUGGACUGAUACUGACACUGAGGCGCGAGAGCGUGGGGAGCAAACAGG